rnacentral:lncRNA from 1 species
UUUUUUUUUGUACUUUAAAAUUUAAGUCGCUACCAAACGUUUCUUCAAAAAUAAAUGGGUUUAUAAUAAUGUUAUCCCGAAAUAAAAUAGUGUCAAGUGAAAGAGUAAAAGCUUUAAUACAUAUAUUCAUUUCAUCCCUUUUAUACAAUUGACGCAACCACAAGGUAUUUUACAACUUUUAAAAUAUACAUGCCUGAUUUUAAUUGAAGUAUGUAGCCCCAUGCAUACUUUCUGUUUUUUAUAAAAGUGUACAGCACCAUACAUGUAUUCAAUCAUUGAAUUUAAAUCUUUUGGUGAUAAGUGACCAUAAAAACAUAUAUAUAACUGUUGACGUUUAUGCAGCCACUUGUCCGUUUCAACAUCCAAUAGUUUUAAAAUGGCAGAAAGGUAAGAUGGGAUUUACACCAAAUAUCAUAAAUCUUAAUUAAAAUUCGAGUGCAAUUUAAACAUUUAAAGAGAUGAGAAUGUUAAUAUCCUAGAAAACAUGCAACUAAAUUUUUAGCGAACUUGUCCAAAUAAUUAAAUUAAACAUAAGUGUCUAUUGCAAUAAUAUUAAAUAGAAAUAAAGUUACGUGCUAGAUUUUAGAGUUUUGUCCCAUGAAACGAGGCACAACCACACCAUCGAGCCACCGCACUCCGACACGACCCGUACUAACCUGUAAGGUAGGGAAAAGGGAUGAGUGUAAAGAAUACUCAGUAGGAUACAAAUAUUCGUACAAUCCCGAAUAACAUUUAUCGUUCAUAUAUCAAAAUAAAUCGUACCGUCAUAUCAUAUCUUUAACCGGUAAGAGCUCAAUCAUAUCAUAUCAUUUGUACCGGAUGGCCAUAUAUGUCAUAUCAUACCAUUUCAUAUCAUUAACGAAAAUAUUUAUCAAUAUGAAAUAACAAAAAUUUAGCGGGACAACCACUUGCAUGUCGUAUCCUACCUUAACCUUCAAAUGCGUUUCAGCCCAAAGAAAAAUGUUGAGAUAUGAAGAAUGCUCUAUAAAUGUUAC